UACGGGGGGAGCAAGCGUUGUUCGGAUUUACUGGGCGUAAAGGGCGCGUAGGCGGCCUGAUAAGUAGGGGGUGAAAUCCUGCGGCUUAACCGCAGGGCUGCCUUCUAAACUGUCAGGCUAGAGCACAGUAGAGGCAGGUGGAAUUCCCGGUGUAGCGGUGGAAUGCGUAGAGAUCGGGAGGAACACCAAUGGCGAAGGCAGCUCGCUGGGACGUGACUGACGCUGAGACGCGAAAGCGUGGGGAGCAAACAGG
rnacentral:rRNA from 1 species